UCAAAUCUAUCAAAAACGAACUCUCUCUCUCUAUAUAGGCUUCAGCCUUUAAAAUUUUUCUGGUGCAUAUUUAUCUUUAAUAAUUUUAUAUGUUAUAAUUUGAAGAUGACAACUAAGAAACAAAAGUCUCAUGAUAUUCACACUAUGUUGUGGCAUGCAACCAUUAAAUUUAUUCAUAUAAUACAUGAAUUUUUUAAAUUUUUUCCUAAGAUAUUUGACAAAAUU
rnacentral:lncRNA from 1 species